CCUGCCGCGCCAGUUCACCCCACACGGGAACGUCUUGGGCUCCACUAACAAUCUCUUGGAAGAGGAAAUCUUCAAGUACAUGACCCAGAGGCGGAGGAGGUUUUCGCCCUCUAACUCGUCUGCCUCCUCCUAUCGGUUCUCUGACUUGGAUUCAGCACUCGAGGACUCGUCGGAUAUGUACAAUCUGCCCAAGAAAGAGGACACCUCACUUGACCAGAG